UCCUGCCGCUAGCUCCCCAGUUCCCAGCUCUCGGGGUUUGGGUCCUUCCUUAUACGUCCUGGCGGCCUUGGGCUACUUCGGCUCGUCGGUGACGUUUGUGCGGGCUCCCCCUGGACCUGCUUCCACUGGGCACACAUGGAAGGUGCUGAAGGCUGAAGGGCUUGGCCCUGGGGAACUCGGACCUGAACACCUCCUCCCGCAGCUCCAGGACCAAGGCAGUGAGGGAGACCCAUUCCUGGACUUGCUUCCAAGUGGGCACAGAGUGAGGAUGGACAGUGCAGGCCUGGAAAAGAGCCCUGGACCUCUCUUCCCUCCCCAUCUAGAACCUGCACAUGCUGCUUGCUGGGCUCCAAAACAAUUAUGGCCUUUGCCCCAUUCCUAAGGGCCAGGACCCUGCCUCCUCUUCUCUCUCACCCACCUACAAGCUACAGCUGCAGCUGCAACAACAGCCUGAGUAGGUGGAAGGCCAGGAUGCCCAGAGGGUGGGUGAUUGAUAGGGAGUGACUCUUGAAGCCUGGCAGUCUAGGGUGCUGGAGUCUUGGUAGCGUCCAAAGAAGGCUACGGAUUGGGGGUCGGAAGAUGUACAUUCAAAUCCUGUCUCCUUUUUGUAACAACGCUUGUGAUUUCUGGAAAAGGUGCCGAACUGCCUUGGGGCCUUCAUUUCUUUCUUUGAGAAAUAAAAGGCUCAUACUAGAAGACCUCAGAGGUCCAUUUUUGCUCUAAAUCCACAAUUUGAGAGAACAGAUUGCACAAAGUGUGACCCAGUCCACAUCUCCCUCCAGAACUAUCAUACGUUCCUCUAAGGCAGUGAUGGUGAACCUGGCAGGUGCCAAAGAUGGCAUGCAGAGCACUCUCUGUGGGCAUGUGGCCCCUCUCUCCCCCCCUCCCUGAGAGUUCAUUACUAGAAAGACAGAGGGAGUGGGGCAGAGCCCCUCCCCUCCCCCUCCAUGCACCUCACAACAUUUUUUUUCAUGUCCUCCACCCAGCAGUCCAAUGGGAGUGCAUAGAAGGUAAGGUGGGUAGCUCACAGGUAGCAGAGCUGGAAGGGGCUAGAGUGCUCCUGGGGCUACUCGCCUUCCCUUCUUCCCCUUCACUAAGGACAUUCCUUACUUCACCCACCCCUCCACCCAGCAGAUGGAUAAGAGCACUUUCACCUCCCCUGGGUCACACCUGGCACUUGGUGGAGGUGGGGCCUGGCACUCCAUCUCAAAAAGGCUUACCAUCACUGCUAAGGUCUAGCCAGACUGCCCUCCCUACUGGUAGUUUCCUGACUAUGCAAUGUGGUUUUCCCACCUCUGGUUUUUUAUCUAUGUUGCUCUUUCCAUCAGGAGUUCCUGAACCUCCUGGGCAGCGAAAUUCAAUCCUAACCAGGUUAUAGUAGGCAUUCUAGAGUCUGUGAAUGACUGACUGUCCAGAGGAUGACAGUUAGAGGCCCUAGAUACCUAGCAUUCUAGAGUGUUAAAGUACAGAGAGAGAUGGGGGUUGGGAGUCAGAGGCUGGACAUUCAAAUCCUGCCUCCUUUAUCACAAUUCUUGUGACCUGGAGAAAGGCAUGGAUCCUCCCUUGGGCCUCAGUUUCCCCCUUUAUAAAAUGAACCAUUUGUAAUAGAAAAACUCUGAGAUUCCGUCUGGUCCUAAAUGUAUAAUCCUAGAAAAGCCAGCUGGAAGUCCCUGACCUGUUGAAAACGGAAUUCACUGGGUUCUGACUAACAACAGGAAGGCAAAUGACCACUCUUGGAAGCCAGUCUAAUCCCUAGGAGAGAGGGCUUUAAGCACAAAAGGAUAGGAGCCAGUCACUUAGUAGUUUCACCUUUCUGGCUCUGAAAAAGACACCAGGUACUGUUGAGACAUAGGAAAGCACAUCCCCAGGACUUCCCUACAUAGAAUUCAUCCAGCUAGGCUUUUCUCAGGUGACCUGAAAAGACCCUGUAUUGAGCCUUGGGUUGAAACCCUCUGCCCUGCAGAGAAUCUCAGGCCCCCUCUCAGCUGCCCCCUUACCUUCCAGGCCCCAAGCAUGCCCCUUCCUCUUUGCCCUCACACCCCAGAUCCCCAGAAGGAAGAGCCUCUGGACAGGCUGGUACACCAGAAACAACAGUGUCUCUCUCUUCCUUUUCUUGCCUGGCCUCCAGCGUGACAGUCUCUCCCAGUACCAAGCAUAAAAUCCCAUUAAAUCCUCUCCUAACUUGAUCCCUUCCUAUCCCCCUGACUGCCUUGUACAUCCUCUGUGAUCCAGAAAUCCUUCUCUCCCAGGCUCCAGUGGAGUGUUAUAUACAAAAACGUGGCACACCUUCCUUCAGCUUUUCCCUACAUCUCUCUGUGCCUGCAUGUGUGCACCAAGCACUGUGCUCAGACAGUCCCUUUUCUCAAGGCCCCCCAAUUCUGCGCAAGAAAGACAGACAGACAGAGAGAGCCUCUAUGGGAAAUUGGGCAUUUCCAUUGAUAAAGCCAAAUCCCUUUCUGAUGUGAAAUCACUUGGGUGGGAGAAGCAAAUAUUUCUUAGGUGUGUCUUUAGUGGCUCCUGAGGGGGUGGGCCAUGACGGUCACCUUUCCCCAUAUAAGCUGGUAGUGGGGACUUUAACCUGAGAAGAUUAAGGGACUCCCGAUGCCCAGAAGCUUCCUGUCAGCCUUAAAUCUGUGGUCUUGGCAUCUUGUGAAGUUGCCCAGGGGCAGAUUUAGCCUGGAUGUCAAGACUGGUUCCCAUCAGGAGCUCUGCCCCUGAAAAGGGAUAGACUGCCAAAGGAGGUUGUGGCUUCCCCCUUAUUUGAGGCCCUUGAGCAGAAUCUGUGUGACCUUUGGAGGAGGAGAUUACCAGGCAGAUCCCAGGUAGACUGGAAGAGAUGUCCCCCAGGAACCCUUCGACACCCUGAGAGUAUGUGAUUGAAUGACAGCUACAUGAGUCCAGUUCGGAAACAAGCCAGACACGGUUGGUAUUCUUCAGCCUGGCUGCCACGCUGUUUGAGGCAGCUGUCUAACACGAGGCUUUGUUGGGGUUCUGGGCAGCUGGGCUGUGGAACUCUGUUUUCAGAUGGUUUGGACAGGAGGACAGAAACAGACCUUUGGAAUUCAGUGGCUCCCCAAUCAGGGAGGGCUUCCAGACUCAGGGAUUCAGCUUCUGCUGGAGGCAAACCUGACCACAGUAGCUCUUCUGGGUAUUAGUAUCCCGGCCCUAUGUAUGUGCCAUAGGAUAUGGUGGCCAUCCCCUCCAAAUCCAAGGCCUGAAGCUUCCCCGGUGCACUGCAGCGGCUCAGAGGAGGUGACCGGUGGGAAAGUGACAGUUAGUGUCCCUGGAAGCCAGGAUUCUAGGAUGUAGGGUCAUGGUGGGGGCAAAGGGGCCUGGGGGAGCACAUUCAUUUAUUUUUAACAAAACAGCCCACUUGGUUUUAUUGCCAGUGGAUCUCUGGUUUAAAAUUAAUUAAUGAAUUAAGUCUGUUUUCCCAUGGUUAAUGAUUCCUGUUCUCUCCCUCCCUAUUUCCCUGCCCGCUCCUGGAGUGAACAAGCAAUUCCUCUGGGUCAUACAUGGGGGCACAUUGAAAUCGUACUUCUGGCUGUGCAGUCUGUUUUGUCUUAGGCAUACAAGUACCUUCCUCACUUUGGGUCUCAGUUUCCUCCUUUGUAAAAGGAGACAUUGAACCUUGUUAGGUUUCCAGUUCUAAAUCUACAAUCUUGGGCAAUCUGGGAAGUAUUUGUCCUCCUUUAAAGGCAUUUUAAUCUGUAACGCGUAGGGAGAACAUGAACACAACCAGAAAUCAAAAUGGAUAAAUUGAUGGUCUGGUCCCCAGGAGAGGGCUUUGAACCCAGCCAAGCCAGGGGCAUAGCCUUCCAUUUGGGGGGGUUCAAAAACACGAGUAGCAACCCAGGCACCGGACAAAUGGCUUGAUUGUCUUGGGUUUCCCUUUAUAGACUUUCAGCUGGCUGGGUUUAUCACAGGACACCAAGGGUCCCUGGGCUGAGCCCAUAUCUUAAGCCUCAGGUUGUUCUUGACCAAGUCUCAGGCCCACCUCUUCCCAGCUAUCUGCCUUUCUCCUGUCAGACUGUUCCAGCUCCAGGGAAUAAGAACUCCCGAUUGCAAAGCAGGAUUCUCUCUUUUGGUCAUCUCUUACCCCAUCCCCAUUCUCUUUUUUGUGCUUGUCUUUUCUUAGGAAUGUCAGGACUAGGGCCAGUGGGCUGGGGCUGUGCUACAGAGCAUGUGCCACUUGAGAGCCAGGGUCAUUGUCUGUGCUUCCCUCGCUCCCAGCGGGGUACCUGGUCUGGCUGAGUCCCUAAUAAGAGCCUGGCUGCUAGUGGAUCCCUUCAGACCUGACCCCUUACUAGUACGUGCCUCCAGGACAUGGGGGGAACCUUAUGUAUUACAUGAUUCAGAGAAGGGGGCCAGAAUGUGAAAAAGGUGGGAAAGGCCUUCUCCAGAAUCUGAAUCUGGCUCCAGAACAGCAGCCUGUGGGAAGGAAAGCCCCAUGCUGUCCAGGAGGAAGGGAGAACAUGGAGACAGGCGGGGGCCUGGGGGCUGCUUCUUACUCACAACGAGGAAACGUUUUUAGCUUUGGUUUUUAAUGGUGGGGCCUGGGAAUCCUUGAGGUCACUUUCUGAGAGACAUUGCCUUGGACAGAAAGAGUUCUAGGGAGUGAGCGAGCAACAGUGCCACGUGGGAAGAGGGAAGGGGAACAGAUAGAUCUCAGAUGAUUUCUCAAGAUGGGAAGUGAAAAAUGGAGACAUUUGAAUGUGGGCUGAACAUUGAUUUAGAAAUGUGCUGUAGGCAACUGUCCUUCCCUUGCUAGAAGGAGAUUCAGUGCCUCCAAGAGAUUUCACAGGCUCUUUGAAUGGUGUGGGCCUAGAAAGCUCUGCGGCCACUGGCCCUCCUCACUGGCUCUACCUUGCCAUGCUUUUUUAUGAUGGCAACAACAACAAUAAAUAAUAAAAGCUUUCCAUCAAGAUCAAUAAUGAUUAAUGUCUUCUCUAUCUGGAUCGGCUGAGCUCUGUGACCUCAUCAUGGUUCAUUUGAAAGCCAACCACUCAAGGCAGCCAGAAUGUUGAGGCCAACUCCCCUACCUUGUGAGGUCACGAAUCGCCGAGGAAACAGAUGAUGCCAGUCAGUUAAAUUCCAGCCCGGGCUGACUGCUGAGGCAUUCGGGGAGUAUGGAGAGCUAAAGAAGGAAGCAACAUCUCCUCAGUCUGGCAGGGUCAUCUCAGCGCCAAAUCACCACUCACACCGAAAAGAAAAAGUGUUCUCCAACCUGAAGCACGGUACCACUCUGUUAUUGCAAAGAUGUCUGAUGAUAUUGACUGGUUACAUAGUCGUAGAGGGGUCUGCAAGGUUGAUCUCUACAGCCCAACAGGACAACAAGAUCAGGAUCGAAAAGUGAUUUGCUUCGUUGAUGUAUCAACCCUCAAUGUAGAUGACAAAGACAACAAGGCGAGUGUAAUUAGAGGGAAAAGAGUAGACCCUUUGGUUAAAAUGGGGCUUAAGGGUAGAAGCCUAAGAGUUGCUGGCCCCUUGGCUCUUUCUGGGCUUUCUUUCCUUCUUUAUGUCGUCUCCAAUUUGCACUUUGCACCCAGGCACCCCAAAUUUUUAAAAAGGGGAAUGAGUGAGCGGCAAGAUCCACUUAGCCCUCUAUUCCCAUCUGUAUCACCUCAAUGAGGAUUUGGAAGAAGGCAAGAUAAAGGACAAGCAGCCUUGAAAGGGGGCUCGUUCUGGGGUCCCCCCUUAGUGUGUGGUGCCCUAGGAAUGGGGGAGGGGGCUUUGGUUGGGGUUAUCCCACCUCUCUUUAUCCACAACAGGAAGGAGGAGGACCUAGUUCAGAGGGAGAACUGGACCUGGAAAGUCUGGAGGAAAAGGAGAUAAUUGUCAUCAAGGACACAGAGAAAUUAGAUCAGUCUAAAACAUGCUACAGUAACUGGCAGGAGAGGGAGCUUUUUGUACAUCUGCAGCCAGCCUCAAUCCAGAAGAUGACUUUAGAGUGAGCACUCCUCAACUCCACAAACGUGGAGAAGUGUGCCAUCUUGAGCUGCUCUGCCAGGCAGAAAGGAUAAAACAGGGAAGCCGCCCUGGCCCUGGCCCUGGCCCUGCCCCUGCCCCUGCCCCUCCCCACUUCUGAUUGUGGCUGGUUGUGACUGGGUGUGUCAUCCUGCUUCUUCCUCC